rnacentral:rRNA from 1 species
AGGGUCGGCUUAUAAAC